UGGGGAAUUUUGGACAAUGGGCGCAAGCCUGAUCCAGCAAUGCCGCGUGCAGGAAGAAGGCCUUCGGGUUGUAAACUGCUUUUGUACGGAACGAAACGGUCUGGGUUAAUACCCCGGGCUAAUGACGGUACCGUAAGAAUAAGCACCGGCUAACUACGUGCCAGCAGCCGCGGUAAUACGUAGGGUGCAAGCGUUAAUCGGAAUUACUGGGCGUAAAGCGUGCGCAGGCGGUUUUGUAAGACAGGCGUGAAAUCCCCGGGCUCAACCUGGGAAUGGAGCUUGUGACUGGAAGGCUUGAGUAUGGCAGAGGGGGGUAGAAUUCCACGUGUAGCAGUGAAAUGCGUAGAGAUGUGGAGGAACACCGGUGGCGAAGGCGGGUCUCUGGGCAUCUCCUGACGCU
rnacentral:rRNA from 1 species